AAAUUGAAGAGUUUGAUCAUGGCUCAGAUUGAACGCUGGCGGCAGGCCUAACACAUGCAAGUCGAACGGUAGCACAGAGAGCUUGCUCUCGGGUGACGAGUGGCGGACGGGUGAGUAAUGUCUGGGAAACUGCCCGAUGGAGGGGGAUAACUACUGGAAACGGUAGCUAAUACCGCAUAACGUCGCAAGACCAAAGUGGGGGACCUUCGGGCCUCACACCAUCGGAUGUGCCCAGAUGGGAUUAGCUAGUAGGUGGGGUAACGGCUCACCUAGGCGACGAUCCCUAGCUGGUCUGAGAGGAUGACCAGCCACACUGGAACUGAGACACGGUCCAGACU
rnacentral:rRNA from 1 species